rnacentral:misc_RNA from 1 species
GAAAUGCGAUAAUUAAUGUGAAUUGCAGAAUUCAGUGAAUCAUCGAGUCUUUGAACGCACAUUGCGCCCCCUGGUAUUCCGGGGGGCAUGCCUGUCCGAGCGUCAUUGCUGCCCUCAAGCACGGCUUGUGUGUUGGGCUUCCGUCCCUGGCAACGGGGACGGGCCCAAAAGGCAGUGGCGGCACCAUGUCUGGUCCUCGAGCGUAUGGGGCUUUGUCACCCGCUCCCGAAGGUCCAGCUGGCAGCUAGCCUCGCAACCAAUCUUUUUAACCAGGUUGACCUCGGAUCAGGUAGGGAUACCCGCUGAACUUAAGC